UACGUAGGCAGCGAGCGUUGUUCGGAAUUACUGGGCGUAAAGCGCGCGUAGGCGGCUUUGCAAGUCGGGUGUGAAAUCCCCAGGCUUAACCUGGGAACUGCAUUCGAGACUGCAUUGCUAGAGUAUGGGAGAGGGAAGUGGAAUUUCAGGUGUAGCGGUGAAAUGCGUAGAUAUCUGAAGGAACAUCAGUGGCGAAAGCGACUUCCUGGACCAAUACUGACGCUCAUGUGCGAAAGCGUGGGGAGCAAACAGG
rnacentral:rRNA from 1 species